rnacentral:rRNA from 1 species
UACGGAGGGGGCUAGCGUUGUUCGGAAUUACUGGGCGUAAAGCGCACGUAGGCGGCUUGGUAAGUUAGAGGUGAAAGCCUGGAGCUCAACUCCAGAAUUGCCUUUAAGACUGCCGAGCUAGCAGGUGAGAGAGGUGAGUGGAAUUCCGAGUGUAGAGGUGAAAUUCGUAGAUAUUCGGAAGAACACCAGUGGCGAAGGCGGCUCACUGGCUCAUACUGGACGCUGAGGUGCGAAAGCGUGGUGAGCAAACAGG